AGGAUGAACGCUGGCGGUCUGCUUAACACAUGCAAGUCGAACGGAGUAGCAAUACUUAGUGGCGGACGGGUGAGUAACGCGUGAGAAUCUACCUUCAGGACGGAGACAACAGUUGGAAACGACUGCUAACCCCCGAUGUACUGAAAAGGCAAAUAUUUAUAGCCUGAAGAAGAGCUCGCGUCCGAUUAGCUAGUUGGAGAGGUAAAAGCUCACCAAGGCGACGAUCGGUAGCUGGUCUGAGAGGACGAUCAGCCACACUGGGACUGAGACACGGCCCAGACUCCUACGGGAGGCAGCAGUGGGAAUUUUCCGCAAUGGGCGAAAGCCUGACGGAGCAAGACCGCGUGGGGGAAGAAGGCUCGUUGGGUUCGUAAACCCCUUUUCUCUUGGGAAGAACGCAAUGACGGUACCAGAGGAAUCAGCAUCGGCUAACUCCGUGCCAGCAGCCGC
rnacentral:rRNA from 1 species